CCUCAGUGAACGGAUCACGUGAAAAAUAAUAUUACUCAACAGUGUUUGUCAACCAGGAAAAUGACAUAGAAUAUGACACACGCUUAAAUCUCCACAAAUGAAAGACCCAGGAAUAGCUGGAGACAACAAAGCAUGUUCUAAAUCAGUGGUGGAAAACCUUCAGCCCUCCAGCUGUUGUGGACUACAUUUCCCAUAAUGCUUUUGCCGGCACUCCAGCAGCGACAACAAUGUAUAGGUAAAGGUAGAAAACGCAUGAUUGUUGAUCCAUCGCCUCCUCCUGCGUUCCCAGUCACAAUGUCAAAC